GAUGAACGCUGGCGGCGUGCCUAAUACAUGCAAGUCGAGCGAACAGAUGAGGAGCUUGCUCCUCUGACGUUAGCGGCGGACGGGUGAGUAACACGUGGAUAACCUACCUAUAAGACUGGGAUAACUUCGGGAAACCGGAGCUAAUACCGGAUAAUAUAUUGAACCGCAUGGUUCAAUAGUGAAAGACGGUUUUGCUGUCACUUAUAGAUGGAUCCGCGCCGCAUUAGCUAGUUGGUAAGGUAACGGCUUACCAAGGCAACGAUGCGUAGCCGACCUGAGAGGGUGAUCGGCCACCCUGGAACUGAGACACGGUCCAGACUCCUACGGGAGGCAGCAGUAGGGAAUCUUCCGCAAUGGGCGAAAGCCUGACGGAGCAACGCCGCGUGAGUGAUGAAGGUCUUCGGUUCGUAAAACUCUGUUAUUAGGGAAGAACAAAUGUGUAAGUAACUAUGCACGUCUUGACGGUACCUAAUCAGAAAGCCACGGCUAACUACGU
rnacentral:rRNA from 1 species